UAACCGCUCUGUCUGUCAGCCCAAGUUGCUUGUUGCUAAACGAGGACAGCUCCUUCGCGUUGCUCAGACCUAAUCCUGCGUUCCUCCCGAAGAACAUUAAUAGCCCACUAUGCAACUUCGGGCAUUUCUUCGCUGUUUUCUUGGUUUUGGCACGCACAUUUCUCUACACAGCGCCCCCUACAGCUUCGUAGUAGAUAUUUUACAACACUGUCGUAACAACUCGUUGACGACCCUUCCCCAUGCACUUCUACGCGAGCCAUGUGCAUUUGUUUUCAAAGAAGCCGGCGAAUGCGUGGAGCCAUGUCCGAAGUAGAUGUUCAUAAAGUGUAGGCAAGGUUAUACAU